CUCUGUAUUCUCUCGGCAGACUAUUGUGAAGGACGUCUCUGAUCGUUUGGAAGAUCCAUAGCCGUUGCAAAGCAAUUCCACCGUUCAAUUCUAGCUGGAUCAAGACCAGAAGCCAUGGUGGAGACGCGACCAAGCUCUUCUGGAUCCAAGCACACACUAAGUGAUCCCUCACCUCAAGUAAGCUUCAGAUAGACACUUGAAAUGUAUGCAUGACCGCUAAAAUGUCUUGCUGCCACAACUCACCAACUAGACACAUGGAUCUAAUUCAUCGAUUGGCUAUUGACAAUUUGGGGCAGACCUGCCGACCGUGGGGUCGCCGGCAGCUUCGAAGAACUCUGACCAUGGAUAUUUCCGGUUACUAUGGAUGGUGGUGGGGUCAGUCGACCCCACUCGACCCCACCUCCAUCCGC